AACGAACGCUGGCGGCAUGCCUAACACAUGCAAGUCGAACGAGACCUUCGGGUCUAGUGGCGCACGGGUGCGUAACGCGUGGGAACCUGCCCUUAGGUUCGGAAUAACUCCCCGAAAGGGGUGCUAAUACCGGAUAAUGUCUUCGGACCAAAGGUUUAUCGCCUUUGGAUGGGCCCGCGUUGGAUUAGCUAGUUGGUAGGGUAAAAGCCUACCAAGGCGACGAUCCAUAGCUGGUCUGAGAGGAUGAUCAGCCACACUGGGACUGAGACACGGCCCAGACUCCUACGGGAGGCAGCAGUGGGGAAUAUUGGAAAAUGGGCGAAAGCCUGAUCCAGCAAUGACGCGUGAGUGAUGAAGGCCUUAGGGUUGUAAAGCUCUUUUACACGGGAUGAUAAUGACAGUACCGGGAGAAUAAGCUCCGGCUAACUCCGUG
rnacentral:rRNA from 1 species